rnacentral:rRNA from 1 species
ACUUGGUGAGAUCCUUGGUGCCUUCGGGAGCGCAGAGACAGGUGCUGCAUGGCUGUCGUCAGCUCGUGUUGUGAAAUGUUGGGUUAAGUCCCGUAACGAGCGCAACCCUUGUCCUUAUUUGCCAGCACGUAAUGGUGGGAACUCUAAGGAGACUGCCGGUGACAAACCGGAGGAAGGUGGGGACGACGUCAAGUCAUCAUGGCCCUUACGGGUAGGGCUACACACGUGCUACAAUGGCCGGUACAAAGGGCUGCGAGCUCGCGAGAGUCAGCGAAUCCCUUAAAGCCGGUCUCAGUCCGGAUCGGAGUCUGCAACUCGACUCCGUGAAGUCGGAAUCGCUAGUAAUCGUGCAUCAGAAUGGCACGGUGAAUACGUUCCCGGGUCUUGUACACACCAA